rnacentral:rRNA from 1 species
CGCGUAGGCGGUCUUGUCGGUCAGAUGUGAAAGCCCGGGGCUCAACCCUGGAAGUGCAUUUGAAACAGCAAGACUUGAAUACUGGAGAGGAGAGCGGAAUUCCUGGUGUAGAGGCGAAAUUCGUAGAUAUCAGGAGGAACACCGAUGGCGAAGGCAGCUCUCUAGACAGAUAUUGACGCUGAGGCGCGAAGGUGUGGGUAGCGAACAGGAUUAGAUACCCUGGUAGUCC